rnacentral:rRNA from 1 species
AGCUCCAAUAGCGUAUAUUAAAGUUGUUGCAGUUAAAAAGCUCGUAGUUGGAUUUCUGGUUCGCUGCGCCUGGCCCGCCUGCGUUAGCAGUGUGAGUGCCGGUUUUGCGCGGUAGCCAUCCUUCUGGAGAACGGGCCUGCCCUUCACUGGGUGGGGUCCGCGACCCAGAUCCUUUACUUUGAAAAAAUUAGAGUGUUUAAAGCAGGCAGUUGCUCUGAAUACAUUAGCAUGGAAUAAUAAGAUAGGACUUUGGUUCUAUUUUGUUGGUUUCUAGGACUGAAGUAAUGAUUGAUAGGGAUAGUUGGGGGUGCUAGUAUUGAGCGGCCAGAGGUGAAAUUCUUGGAUUCGCUCAAGACUAACUUAUGCGAAAGCAUUCACCAAGGAUGUCUUCU